rnacentral:rRNA from 1 species
UAGGGAAUCUUCGGCCAUGGACGAAAGUCUGACCGAGCAACGCCGCGUGAGUGAAGAAGGUUUUCGGAUCGUAAAACUCUGUUGUUAGAGAAGAACAAGGACGUUAGUAACUGAACGUCCCCUGACGGUAUCUAACCAGAAAGCCACGGCUAACUACGUGCCAGCAGCCGCGGUAAUACGUAGGUGGCAAGCGUUGUCCGGAUUUAUUGGGCGUAAUGCGAGCGCAGGCGGUUUCUUAAGUCUGAUGUGAAAGCCCCCGGCUCAACCGGGGAGGGUCAUUGGAAACUGGGAGACUGGAGUGCAGAAGAGGGGAGUGGAAUUCCAUGUGUAGGGGUGAAAUGCGUAGAUAUAUGGAGGAACACCAGUGGGGAAGGCGGCUCUCUGGUCUGUAACGGACGCUGAGGCUCGAAAGGGGGGGGAGCAAACAGG